GCGCCCCGCCAGCCCCGCCCCUCUCCAACAUUCCGUCCCCCGCCUCGCGUGCGUGGGGAUCUACGUGGCUGUCACUUCUGGAGCCGCGCUGGGGACCUGGGAAGAUAACUGAGGCACGAGUCGGAGGGCUGGAGCUUCGGCCGACAGGGCUAGGCGCAGUCCUCCCUUUAGCUCCGAACGCGCCCGCCCCCUGCGCUGGCCGUGGUCCCAGCUGUUACCUCUGCAGAGCCUUUUCCUGCAGUGUGGUUCUUCCUCUCAGCCUCCCUCCGCGGCUUUCCCUGCGCAGAGGACCUGAGGAGGCUGUUGGGUCGUUGCCAAGCCGACCAGAGACCUGACUCCCUCUUAAACCGCGGUCGGACCGACCAGCGGACGUCCUCCGUAGGCAGAGGGUGGCCCUGGGAGGGAGGGGCAGAAGGGUGUAAAAUGCGGACUAACUUCCCCACCAAAGUGGAUAUUCAAAAUGAAAGGAUGCCCAGAGUGAUUGCCCAUCAGAUAUCUGCCCCCUGUGAAGCCUGCCAGUCUCCCAGAAUGCACCUGGAGGGGGUAUUCUGGACCUGAUCAGCAGGAAUGAGAGAAGAAUCAGCCUUUUGAACAUAGCUUAGAACAACCUCUCCGUUGGCUGAUUUAAUUCCCUUUCCCAGGAAGGUUCCACUCCAGGUACAUCGAAAGCACAGUUGAAGCAGUUUGAGGGAGGAGUGGAGAUGGGGAAAAUUGGGAGGGGAGAGUCUUGGGCAACUCUGUGAUUCUUUAUACUCUGGGAAUGUGUAGCUUGAGUAAAAAUAGAAACAAAAUAAUGACAUAAAGCAGCCACUACAUGUGGAAGGAAGGGGCAAGGAGAGCAAAAAGGAUGAAUGUAUGGGCUGGACACAGUGGCAUUGGGUGCUAGAGUUUUGGGGACCCUGAGCUAGAAGUUUCUCUUGUAUUUACUCAUUCGCCGCUCUUUCAACUCUCCAGCAACCCCAACAGAUACUAGAUGAGGAAACUGAGUUUUCAAGAUGUUAGCUAGUAAGUCGUGGAGCUAACUUUCAAAGCCAGGCUUAUUUGACUCCAGAGCUCAUACUGUUUGAGUUCAAGGGGUGUUCUGCUACUGAGCUACAUGCUCAGCUCUUUUUAUGUUUUAUUUUGAGACAGGAUCUCACUAAGUUGCCAAUGCUGGGCUCAAGCUUGCAAUCCUCC
rnacentral:lncRNA from 1 species